UGGUGCCUAGCAUCAACUGUCCAACUGUCUAAAAAACAGUUAUUAGCAAGAGCCGGGUAAGACCGGUGCCAGCCGCCGCGGUAACACCGGCGGCUCGAGUGGUGACCGCUAUUAUUGGGUCUAAAGGGUUCGUAGCCGGCUUAAUAAGUUCUUUGGGAAAUCUGGCGGCUUAACCGUCAGGCUGCCGAAGGAUACUGUUAGGCUUGAGACCGGGAGGGGCUAGAGGUACUUCAGGGGUAGGGGUGAAAUCCUGUGAUCCCUGUGAGACCACCAGUGGCGAAGGCGUCUAGCUAGAACGGGUCUGACGGUGAUGAACGAAAGCUAGGGGCACGAACCGGAUUAGAUACCCGGGUAGUCCUAGCCGUAAACGAUGCGAGCUAGGUGUCACGGUAGCUGCGAGCUACUGUGGUGCCGUAGGGUAGCCAUGAAGCUCGCCACCUGGGAAGUACGCCGCAAGGC
rnacentral:rRNA from 1 species